rnacentral:lncRNA from 1 species
UCUUCUUCCCCUUCCUCCUCCUCACCCUCUCCCACGCCGCCACCUUCAACGUCGUCAACCAAUGUUCCUACACCGUGUGGGCUGCAUGGGCAGCCACCGGCAACGUCGGCGGCGGCCAGCAGCUCAGCCAAGGCCAGACCUGGACGGUCACCAUCAACGCCGGCACCACCGGUGGCCGCAUCUGGGCUCGUACUGGCUGCUCCUUCGAUGCCAACGGCAACGGGAACUGCCAGAGUGGCGACUGCGGCAAGCUCGCCUGCACCUCCUACGGCUCCGCACCCAACACCCUCGCGGAAUUCGCCCUCAACCAGUACCAGAACCUCGACUUCAACGACAUCUCCCUCGUUCAGGGCUUCAACGUGCCCAUGGACUUCCGCUCCACCUCGUCGGACUGCAGCAUGGAUAUCCAAUGCACCGCCGACGUCGUUGGGCAGUGCCCCAGCGCGCUCAAAGUUGCCGGCGGCUGCGAUGACCCAUGUACCAUCUUCAACACUCCUCAGUACUGCUGCCCUUCCGGCUCCAGCUGCGAGCCAACCACCUAUUCCGAGUUCUAUAAGGGCCUGUGCCCGAAUGCGUUUAGCUACCCGGAUGAUUAUGUCAACACCAGCUUCACCUGCCCCGGUGGGAGCAACUACCAGGUUACCUUCUGCCCUUGAGGCUUUGAGAGCAUGGUCAUCCAUGCAUGACGCUGUUUCGAGUAUGUGAUAGCUUUGGAAUAAGGUGUUUGUAACCAAAUUUACGAGCCAUUAAACUGGCCUGUGAUGCGUGCAGCAUUAUUGGAAUUAUAGAAAUAAUUGUUUACUGUUAGUAAAUGCACUCUCCAUCUUCAAUAUCUUAUGGAUGACUACAAAAAUAAGAAAAUGGUAUAGCAAGUUGCUCUAUUCGGCAAUACAUCUCCUCUCCAGUAUGGCGCUAGCGUAAUAUCUGGUAAAUGGACCAAUUCCAGCGAUCACUGGCCCCAUCAGUUGCACCAUCCCCUUUUGCCCUGUGGAACAAGAAAUCCUGGAGUUAAUGCCUAGAAGUUGAUCUAACAAAGUGAAUCACCACAAAAUUCUUUCACCGGUCAACUGCUGGUGUAUUAUAAGUAGUUAUACGAACUGAGAGAAACUAUUUGGAAAGUUCGGAAGAUAAUGUCUUUUAAUUUUUGAGUGAGAGACUUGGGCCGAGCGUAGUCCAAUAUACUAAAAUAAAACAGAGUGCAAACGGUGACAUUUCUGAUUUCACCACCCCCGGGCCUCUUGAUUCUUACUAAGGCAGAAUUCAUUCAUGAUAUCUUUUAAUGAUUGUCAAAACUCACAUAUGCAAGUAAUUAAUAUUUUAAUAGAUCCUUAUUGAAUUUGAUUUAACUCUAAGACAGAAUUUCCCAACAUGCUGAAUGGAACCUCGGGGCAUAAUAGCGAUGGGAUUGGGAGGUAAUAAAAAACAAUACAAUUAAAACACAACAGAAUCAACAACUCUCCCACCUCAUGUAAACCUGUUAGGAAAUAAAUAAUGCUGCAACAAUAGAGCAAUAAAAACGUUGGAUAAUUGUUUACUGUUAGUAAAUGCGCUCCUCCAUGUUCGGUAUCGUAUGGAUGACUAAUUACAGAGGGAAAAGACGAGAAUACUAUGGCAAGUUGCACUAUCUAUUCGGCAAUCCAUUUCCUAUCAGAUAUGGCACUAUCUAAACGUCUAGGAAAUGGCCCAAGUCCAACGAUCACUGACCCCAUCAAUCGCACCAUCCCCCUUUGACAUGUUGGAUAAGAAAUACAGGAGCAAAACGCAUCGAAGCUGAUCUUGCAAAUUGAAUCACUCCAAAAUACUUUCAUUAAUCUAUUGCUGUUCCAAUAUUAAUUAUUUACAUGAACUAAGAGAAACUAUUGGGAAACUCUAGAGAAGAUACAUCCAUGUAUUUUUUUUAUUUUAUGACCGAAAGACUUGGGUUGAGUCUAAUCCAAUUUAUUAAAUUAAAAUAAAGUACAAACGGUUNNNNNNNNNNNNNNNNNNNNNNNNNNNNNNNNNNNNNNNNNNNNNNNNNNNNNNNNNNNNNNNNNNNNNNNNNNNNNNNNNNNNNNNNNNNNNNNNNNNNNNNNNNNNNNNNNNNNNNNNNNNNNNNNNNNNNNAUAUAUAUAUAUAUAUAUAUAUAUAUAUAUAUAUAAACAUCUUCCGUGUGUUACCUUCUAUCAUAUAUGGAACGUCGGGUCCCUGUUGCUUACAAACAGGUGCUCUGGCCAAGCCGAAUAAUAUUGGAUUUAGUAUCCUCUGUACAGGAUUAUUAAGUUGGUCACGAGGAAAAAUUUCAUCGUGCAUCAAGAUUUUGGAUAACCUUCGCAACAAAGUAUGCUCCAUUUGACGAUUAGAUUGCACUAAUCCCAGAAGCCCAUGGAGGAAGUUUCUCAGAACUUGAAUUCUCUGUAAGUCAAGUUGCAAUAGCUCACGUACUUAAAUCAGUUGAAGUAUGAAAGUGGAAUUGGUGUUGUGUGGGAGGAUGCAGAGAAGCAUAUAAGACGGUCAGUUUGGUGUUUCCAGAUAAUUUCCACGGACGUAGCGGUGGUUUUCCACUUCUACCAGCUAUUUCUCAGCAGACCUUUCGGGACUUCCAUCGAAGGACACUGUCAAGUUAGGCAAAUGGAUAACUUUCAAGGUUGUCUGCAUCAGCAGUCCAAACACUUGGAAGACGCAAGUAGGGAUGUUCACACGGAUGAUUUUUCUUAGCUCAUAAUUACCAUGCGCCUUACACGCAUCCAAAAUUUAUUUCUACAUGGUGAAGAUAUGUACAUGUUCUGAAAAUGGAUACAAGUGUGUCAGGUUGGAUUAGGAUUUGGCUUAGUCUGGAAAUGCAUAUAUUAAUUGUUGGAGUUUUAAUUUAUGAAAAGAUUUAAAUUUUAAAAAUAAAAAAUCAAUCUUAUUUCAUAUUUAUCAGUUGCUUCAAAAGUUUUAAAACUUUUUGUAUUUUUAGUCUAGCAUCAGAUUUGUGAAAGCAAGAAUGAAAAUCCUGUAUCCUUGGUUGACAACCGUGCGCCAUACUCACUGAACCUGCAUCCUCGGUGUUUUUUUGGCCUGCACCUCUUUUGAUGCAUCAAUCUUUUAAUCUUAGCUGAUCUAGAUGUGAUGUAACACAUCCCAUCAGGUGACGAUUACAAAGGUGAUAGGAUGUACCUUGAAGAAUCUGAUAGAGGCAAGAUUUAAACUUAUCCAAUGGAUAGAAACCAUGGAGGCUCUAGUGAAGGUAAGAUCAAUCACCGUGCUUGCCUAGCAGUCCAUUGAUAAAGUAGAUAUGACUGAGCAGGUUGCUCCCUAGCAUAUAGAUUUGGCAUGACUACAUAUGAAGAUGACGUGAUGGUAUCCUCGAAAGUAGUUGCCCCCUGCCCUCGAAAUAAGAGUAGGCUACAUUGCAAGCUGGUUGAACUGUUGUUCUUCAUCCACUAGUACUUAAAAAUAUCUAACUUUGGCAAAAGUGACUGGAGUCAACAUGAUUCCAUCGACUUCUCUCUUAGCUACCAUUUGCAAAAAUCAAGUUAGUUGAGGCCCAUCUCGGGCUUGUAUAUUGGCCUAAUAUUGACCAAAGCCUUAUUGACUGUCUAUUUGAUAUGAUUUGCUCUUGCAUUAACCUGCAGGACCUCCUUGUCUCAGCCUAUAGAUUCCAAAAGCUCCAUAAGAAAAUUUUCGGGCUCUUCCCCCUGAUGAGCCUAACUCGGAUUCUUCAUAUACUACAAUACUUCCCAGUAAAAUGGACUCAUCUUCCAUGAAGAUAGGAUCGAUUUCUUCUUCUACAGGAUAUACUAGAAUGUACUGUGAUUUGGUGCAUCAGCUUCCUUCUUUUUCAGAGCGAGACUCCCCAGGAAAGGUCAUGUUUAAUUAGUUCAAAGUAAGCAUGGAAACAGAUCUUUCAAUCCAUUCCACUAUCGAAGCCGAAGAUGCUGCAUAACGAUCCAAAAGUGGUCUUAGUAUAGAGGCCGCUUUCUAUGCCGUUGCUUCCUUAACUUCCUUCCAUAGUGGUAUAGUGGCAAUUACAUGAUUAUGUCACUAGAACUAAUAUGACAAUGACUACGUAUGGCUUCACUAAUACUAGGGUUCCACUAAUACAUAGGGUUACACAAUUAAGUCGGACCCAUCUUGGAUUCUAAGAACGACAAUGAUGACUCGAUUGCACUAGGUCCUCCUGAUUUUCCAUUGCAUAAGUCUAAUGUGGCGGUUGUUGCAGCUACGGUUGUUGCUGCUGUUGGUUAGUGACCAUCUACUAUAAAUUCUAGGGCGGCGGCGGUCAGCGAUUGAACCUGCUGCAUGAGCAGACUAAACUAUUCACUGGUGGUCGACGGGUCAGGCUGUGGCUCUUGCUGGGGAGCCCUCCGAGAGCUCUAUAAAAAGCCAUUAGACUCCAUGACUGCAUCCUAUUGGGCAAUUGCAGUCGCUACCUAGGUUUUCUUAACUUCAUAGCUGUGUGUCGUCCACUUGAUCGAUCAGACCUCCAAAGAUAGAAUCAUAACCCUUCCACUAGCCCCAAUCUAUUGCCGCUAGGAACUAGUCCAACCUAGGCACUGAGUUGGUGGGGAUCGCAAAGAUCUCAGCUCGUUUGUCGUCCAGAUCAGAGAAAUCAGAUGAGAUCGUUGCAUGUCUCCACGGUAAUGUUCCAGUGGUUGUUGCACUCGAUCAAUGGUGAUCCCGAUGUCGAACACUCACGAGUCGGUAUUGUAUGAUGGAGGAACGGCUUCAUGCGAUGCUCUGACGUAGGCUCCAACCUGAAACGGUAAAAAUAAAGAAGUCCACACACUGGAGCAUAUUCGAUGGGGAUCCUUCGAUGCCCAAGUCAGACACAACUCAAAAAGAAUGGGAGGAGGCCUGAGAUGGGAGAGAGGAAGCACAAGAGAGUCGAAAGAGAGCUUGUACGGAGGGUCUUCAUAAAUGCAAUACAUAGAUAAGGAUCGAAGCCCGCCGCCAAGUAAUUUGGAGCUAUAUAUAUGCUAGUUGAUGAGGCAAUAAGUUUUUAUUGGUUAGUUUGUUUCAUCAGCAUGGAUCAAUUCGGAGAUAAAUGAUCCUAAAUAGGUUGGUUUUGAAUGAAAAUAAAUUUUUGCCUAGAUUUCUUUUCCAGGCUAUGAAAAUCCAUGAGGAUCGUAGAGUCUGUCCCUGGCCUUUCAGGGAAAGGGUCCAUCCAAAUCCUGCCGCAGAUUAGAACUCUUGCAAUACAUAAAGAUGAUGAAUUUUUAUUGAUUGGUUUGUCUUAUCAGCAUGAAUCAAUUGUAAAAUAAAUGAUUUUUAAUUGGUUGGUUUUUUGAAAAUAAAUUUUUGUCCAGAUUCUUUUUCCUAGGCUGUGAAAAUUUUUGAGGAUCUAAUAAUUGUCUGUCUUUUUUUCGUACAGUCAGUCCCCUGAAAGGUCCAUCCAAAUCCUGCCGCAUAUUCGAACCCUUGUAAUGGUUAUCCAGUUAGUGGAUGGCUUAGAAAUUUUUCAGAUGACGUCGUUCACUCGCAGGCUUGCGCGCAGUACCAUCUGAGAAUAAAAUGCCGUCGGCUUGCCCGUAACCUCUCUCUCUCUCUCUGUCUUUGUCUGCUGGCCAAAUUUUUCCAUGCUAUAAGGACCCGCUGAGAGACGUCAUGAAGAUAACGCAUGAAAUUUUUCAAACGAUGACGACAAUAGUCUCCAAUGCUAUUGGGACACCUCCGGCUCAGAGGCAUUAUGGAAGACGACGCAUGGCACUUUUCCAACAAUGACAGGCAGUUUAGUCUCCAACCGCGUAGUGAUCCCCUUCUCGGCAAGAUAGCUCAUAUGUGAAAGCAGUAGAGUAUAGCGUACUGCUCGCGCCGUGAGCUUACAGAAUAACUUGACAUUUAUAUACAUAGAAAAGCCUCCUACGUACUUUAAUGUAACAUUAAAUUCCGUUGCACUUGCGUAGACGGGAAAGCAUACAAGUUGGAUGAUCAAGGAUGAUACUUGAGAUCUGGGCGCGGAAUGUAUUUGCAGAAAUUUUCUAUUAGGAAGAGCAUUUUUCAAUGGUUGGGUUAAAAAUUCUAUUAAAUUCAUAUGUUGGGCCAGUACAAUGAACAUGAUCAAAAAUAUCCAAAAAUAGUUUUGGAGCGAGUUGGCCUAAAUUUUAUAAGAAAAAAAAACUCAGUAGGUCUAGUCUGGCCUCUAAUUCUGUAAUUUUGCUGAUUGUAAUGAUCCAACCCAUAAAUUUAAUAGGAUUUUCAGUCUACUCAUUCAGACAGGUCCUUCCAUGUGGUGCCGACUUUUGAGGUACAUGCGAGGACACCAUGGUCAAGCUCUGUUCAUGGAAAACAUCAACGUGAGUUAAUUAGCAUCAGAUACCUGUGACUUAUGAAUGGGAGGAUGCUGAGCUGUGGAGAUGGAUGGGUCAUGAAUUAUUAACUUGCUAGUUAUUUACUAAGGCUCAUAAUGGAUCACUACAUGAUUUGUUCAAGAGCAAAUUUGCAUAUAUGACAUCAAGAGUAUCACGAGCUUUCCUUUCUUUUGCGAGAACACGGUGAUUAUUACUUAAGUUUGAGUUCGAAAUGUAUACAUGACCUAACAUGGUAUUUCGUACAAGUAUGUUACAUACGGCACUCAAUAUUUUUUCUAAAUUAUUUUACAGUUUACUAAAUAUACUAUGAAAUAUACUCGUUAUGAUAUUUUUUUUAAUAAUUUGAGACUUUUCAAUACCUCAAGCAGAAACACAAAUUUAAUUAUUCUAAAGCCCAAAGAAAGGUCUGCAGUCCUCAAUAGCUUACUCCCUGGGAGGCUUCCCCUGCUUUGGUUCUGUUCUAUAGAUAUUAACAAAAAUAAAAUAUAAAGAUAUAGAUUUUGUAUUUUAAAUAUAAAGUGUGGAAUAAGAGAAUAUUUCUUACCAAAUAUGUUACACACAGAAAUAGUUGCAGUAUAUGUAACAAGAAAUAGUGGUCAAAUUUUAAUAAGUUAGAAAGUGAAUUGAGCAUACAAAAAAUUUUAGACUCAUGAAUUAGGUAUAGGUAAAAAAAAAAAAAAUCAAGAUUCAGAUUUUAAGGUGUACCUCAAGAUUGUGUAUAGUGUUUUUUUCUUUUUGGGCUAAAAUCUCUUAUCAUAUAUAUAUAUAUAUAUAUAUAUAUAUAUAUAUAUAUAUAUAUAUAUAUAUAUAUAUANNNNNNNNNNNNNNNNNNNNNNNNNNNNNNNNNNUUAUGGAGGUUAUUAAUAUCUAAGAAUCAUGCUUAUCUAAGAGUUUGAUUUUAUUCAAAAUCAUUUAUUAUUGUUUUUAUGAUCGACAUUAUAUCAUAAAGAAUAAUUCAACUAGCAACAUUCCAAAAAUUGUUCCUAUGACAUUUCAAACUUUCACUUUUUCAUAUAUUUUAAACUUUUAAAAUAUUUACUUAUGCAAUUAUGGUAAAGAAAAUGUAUGUCAUAUCCAUUUCCUCAAAAAAGGUAUAAUGUAAAGUGUGAAGCCGACCCUCUGUAAAUGGCAUUUAAGUUACUACAUAAAAUAAAAGCACAAAAAGUUUUAUAUGAAUGAACUAAGAAAUAUUCAAUAAUUUGAGAAGUACAUUAUAUUAUAUAAAAAUCAUUCAAAUAAUAAAGCAAAGAUACCAUGCAUGGAAAUCUGAUUUAUGAAAACAAAUAAAGUUAGUAGUAAAGAAUAUAUAAUUAGAUACUAAAAAUAUCCGUAGUAUGUUGGGUCAAUUAUUUUAUGAUUUUCUAGAUUUUUUUGAAUUUUUAUAAGCAGCAUUUUUUCAUAAUUUUUUAUUUAUAAUAUCCACAAGAAAGUCCAAUCAGUUUUAACCACUGAAACAAAAACAGAGCGGGAAAGCUUAAAUGGAAUUUUUGUUGAUGAUUUAGUUAAACAAUUUUAGUUGAUCCAUUGAUAUAACAUAUUUGGAUAACUUUAAUAUAUUUAGAUAAUUUUUACAUAUUUAUAUGAUUUAUAAUCCAUCUUUUUUUUUGAAUUUAGCAUGUAAAAAAUUUGAAUUUUGUGCAUACAAAUUUGAAUUAUGUGGCUUAUUUGAAUUUGAUUUAAUAUGCUUCGUUUAUUUUUUUGUGCAUAUAUGCGAUUUUUUAUACAAAUUUUUCUUUGUAACAUACAUAACUUCACAAAAUGUCACGCUUUUUUUUUGUAGAAAAUUUCUUUUUUGACAUGACUUCCAAAAAUGUCUCUAUUUUUUUUGAAUUGCGGAGAGGGGUUGUGUUUUUUCUUUCUUUUCCAUUUAAUUGGUAUAGAGAUAACCUUAUAACGAGGCAUUAGAAUCCUCUGGGUAGGUUGUAGAAAAUUCUUAACUGCAACUAAGCCAUGUGUCAGAUUUAUAUUUGUCGUUUGAUCAACUAUAUCGAGUGCAUCUAGAAGAUCAAGUAAGUUGGUUUCGAAUGAAGAUAAACUUGGCUCUUCUUGACUUUAUCCUUAGGUUGGCAAUCGUCCACUCUAAGUUGAACAGGUUUGAAACCAUCCUAAUCCUUUCUUUUUUAUUUUUCUUUUUCUUUCUUUUUCUUUUUCUUUUCUUAGCAAAAGGGAAGAGUGGAGUGAGGAGAACCUCACCCGCAUAGCAACCCCCAUUGGGUCCUCUCCCUGCUCGAGAAUAUUUAAUACGGGUAGAACCUUUUUUACUCAUACCCUCCCCACCCGUGGUAGAGUCCCACCAGCAUGGCAGCCCUGCCCUCGUGUGAGUAGUGACACCAACACCACCUAAGUAAACGGUAGAUCAGAUAGCGACUCUACCGGACAAAUCAAGCAGGGAGCAUCCGGUCCUCAUAUUUAAUCGAUGUCCGCACAUUUCGAACUUGAGCCAUUCCGGUGGAAUCAAAAUGCCAUUCCCACAGUGCUACCAUCUCGGUGGUGCCUUCCUAAUCAUCUGGUGGACUAGAAGUGUUGUCCUGAUGAUCCUAAUAACUAGUGCAUGACUUUAAUUUUAUCAUAGUCUUGCAUACUUGCUUUGGAAGGUAAUGCAUGGGAGAUUUUUCAACAAUGACGACAUUUGAAUAAUCUCCGGCAACGUUUUGUUCCCGUCGCCUGCAUCCCAAGACUCCUUCAACAGAGUCACGAGAAAAUUGGGAGGGCAUGCGAGACUUAUCCCUGGAAGACGUUUCCACACUUGACCUGCUUUUUGCCCGAAAGAACUUAACGAAGUCAUCAUUAAAAAAGAUGACUACAUGGCAGGGGAAUAGAAAAACUCGUUCAUUCAUAAAUGCAGCAUUGCUAAAUUCAGUUGUACCUACCGACAAGCACAAGCUCGCGAACUAAGGUUUUUUUUUUUUUUUUUUUGUUCCUGAUGAUCCUAACCAGCAUGGUUAGCCACGUAAGUGGCCACCCAAUCUGCAGCUCCGUCAGCUUCUCUAAACACAUGCUUCACCUGGAUAUUCCUUUCGUCCCUCAUCAUCAUUCAGAUAUCGCGAAGCAAAGAAUGGUCACCAGCAGCGACCCUCAGACCUCUCUGGAUCUAGGUGAUGACCGUAGCCGAGUCACCCUUCAAGAUGACCGACCCAACUGAGAGCACACACUGAGCAUAUCGAAGGCCCGCCCAGGCUGCCCUUAGCUCUGCACCAGAAAUCGUGCAGUCAAAUAAUUGACAGCCUCCCACUGCCACGACCCUGAAGUUCGGAUCCCUAAUGAUGAAAUCCGCUCCACCAUUAGCGCCUCCAUCCAGCACCGACCCAUAAAAAUUGACCUUGAGGAAACUACGGGGUAGGGGCUUCCAGGUGAAAAACAUCAUACGAGGAGCUGCAGAGGCAGAAUGGGAACCCCAGAUAUCCCAAGCUGUCCAAGGUCCUUCUAAGGAGGAAGCAUGACUAAUCUUUGCCGCCUGCGCCGAGGCACUCUUUGCCACAAGCCUUGGCGACUUGCUGUGCUCACCAAAGGUUUGAGCAUUUCUUGCCAGCCAUACCUGGUAUGCUAUGCAAGUCGUCCUAACCGCCUCCUGGCGUGUCAGUGGGUUACCCGACCACCUACGAAUGGUCCAUAAGAACUGAUCCCCCUUAGACUAACUCUUCCGCAGCAGCACCGCUGCACUCCACGCCGCCCUAGCUCAUGUGCACUGAAACACUACGUGGUCCACCGACUCAUCGGCACCGCAUGCCCCACACUCAGGGGGUAGCCUCAGUCCCCGUCCGCUGAGUACUGCUCUCGUCGGAAGCCGAUCCCAGACGACAUUCCAUAAGAACAGUAUAACCCUCGAGUGGAGACCUAGGCGUCAGACCCAGGCACACUCCGGACCUAGCUCAUGAUCAGGCCGGAGCACUCGGAAGAGCUCUCCCACCCUAAUGCAGGUACUACACAACGUGCUCCACACCUGAGUAUCAGGACCACAUACCUCGGAAUCGGAAGAGACCGGACCCUCUCAGUUAGGUGUGUCCCAAAUAUUUGACCCAACCUAGCCUCAUCCAUAGCAGCCUUGCCAAGGUCAAGGAGGUCGCAAACCUGCAGUCCUCCACUACCUCAAUAUCAACCGUAGUCAACCAGAGUCUCCAAGGGAGGGCAACCACCCAUGGGUCGCCAACCACAUCGAUACUCCGCCCAUCACCUGUCAACCAUAUAGGAUUCUCCAUAACUGUUGGUAGAAAUCUUGCGAUCUCUCGCCACAUGAAUGGGCAACGAUUUGUACUGUGGAUCACCCCUACAUUACCCGUUCGGCCAUAUCUGGCAGCGAUGGUCUGACUCCAAAACCCCUGCAGCUCUAGCGUGAAUUGAGCUGCAUGUCGGGCAAACAACGGCUCGCGCCUCUCCAAAAGAGACAGCACACCAAGGCUUUCCUUACUCAACGGUAGGCAGAUACUCUCCCAUGCCACUAAAUGCACCCCAUGACCCCCUCCAUACAACCCCCAUAGGAAGCUUCGAAGUAGUCUCUCGAUCCUCAUCAGCACCAUUUUCGAAACCACCGUGUUUGCCAUUAGGUAGACAAGCAUGGAACCUAGCACUGAUCUAAUCAGCGUCAAUCUACCCAUCAUAGAAAGCGAAGACACCCUCCAGCACUCCAGUCUACUCUGAAUCUUCUGCACCAGACCGGUGCACUCGGCUACCCGCAGCCUCCUACCCGUAAUGGAUACUCCCAGGUAGCUCCAGGUCCCAUCCUAUACCAGCAUCUUCAGUAUUCCCCGAAUCUUCUGUCUGACCCUAUACUCCAUGCUAGAGCUGAAGGAGAUGGUUGACUUCUGGAGGUUUACCUUCUGCCCUGACACUGCGUAGUACUUCGCUAAUAUUCUUCUAAGCACUCGUGCAUCCGCUGCCCGCGCAUUGACUAGGAGAAGACAAUUAUCUGCGAACAAUAAGUAUGAUAUAGGUCAAGACCCUGGGUCUAACUGGGUCGGGUCACGAGUCGACCCAACCCAUUUGUAGCCUUAUUUCUACUUAAUAGGUACCUAAAAAUAGAGAUAGAUAUUGAAAUAUUUAAUCAAAAAAAAUGUAUAUAAAAAUAAUAGAAAUAAUGAAAGAAAAAUUCUAACUUAUUGCUAAUGUAUCUUCUUAAGUUUGAAGACUCCAAAUAAAAUUCUUACUAUUUGGACAGUUUUUUUUAAAAUUUUUUUUUCAUGCAGUCUUCAUAUUUUCCUUUUUUUUGUUUGGUUUUCUCUACAAAUUUCUUUCAAUUUUUACAAAAUUUUGGUGAAAGCACUAACCCACUCUCUUUUUUCCGUUUAAUAGGUACGGAGACAUAGAGAUUAUUAUUUUAUCUUAAUUAUUAAAUUAAUAGCUUUCUACAUACACAAAAUAAAAUAAAUUAACUUUUAAUGUUAUCGGGGUUGUUGGAAUCAGCAGUCCAAACACUUGGAACACGCAAUUAGGGAUGUUGACACGGAUGAUUUUUCAUUAGCUCAUAGCCACUGAUCGAAUCAUGUACCUGGGACUUCCACCAAAGGACACGGUCAAGAAAGACAAAAACGCCUCCUCCUCAGCCUACCCUCCCCCAUCGCCCUAUAAAUACUCUUACUGCCCAUCCCGCAACCCCACACAAUCCUCAACCAGAGAGCCAUCUUCCUGGGUAUCAAAAUGGCCUCCUCGACCUCCCUCACUCUCCUCUUCUUCCCCUUCCUCCUCCUCACCCUCUCCCACGCCGCCACCUUCAACGUCGUCAACCAAUGUUCCUACACCGUGUGGGCUGCAUGGGCAGCCACCGGCAACGUCGGCGGCGGCCAGCAGCUCGACCAAGGCCAGACCUGGACGGUCACCGUCAACGCCGGCACCACCGGUGGCCGCAUCUGGGCCCGUACUGGCUGCUCCUUCGAUGCCAACGGCAACGGGAACUGCCAGAGCGGCGACUGCGGCAAGCUCGCGCGCCUGCACCUCCUACGGCUCCGCACCCAACACCCUCGCGGAAUUCGCCCUAAACCAGUUCCAGAACCUCGACUUCAACGACAUCUCCCUCGUUCAGGGCUUCAACGUGCCCAUGGACUUCCGCUCCACCUCGUCGGACUGCAGCCAAGAUAUCCAAUGCACCGCCGACGUCGUUGGGCAGUGCCCCAGCGAGCUUAAAGUGCCCGGCGGCUGUGAUGACCCAUGCACCAUCUUCAACGCUCCUCAGUACUGCCCCCCUAACGGCUCCAGCUGCGAGCCAACCACCUAUUCCGAGUUCUUUAAGAGGCUGUGCCCGAAUGCGUUUAGCUACCCAGAUGAUUAUGUGAACACCAGCUUCACCUGCCCCGGUGGGAGCAACUACCAGGUUACCUUCUGCCCUUGAGGCUUUGAGAGCAUGGUGAUCCAUGCAUGACGCUGUUUCGAGUAUGUGAUAGCUUUGGAAUAAGGUGUUUGUAACCAAAUUUACGAGCCAUUAAACUGGCCUGUGAUGCAUGCAGCAUUAUUGGAAUUAUAGAAAUAAUUGUUCACUGUUAGUAAAUGCACUUCUCCAUCUUCAAUAUCUUAUGGAUGACUACAAAAAUAAGAAAAUGGUAGAGCAAGUUGCUCUAUUCGGCAAUACAUUUUCUCUCCAGUAUGGCACUAGCGUAAUAUCUGGUAAAUGGACCCACUCCAGCGAUCACUGACCCCAUCAAUUGCACCAUCCCCUUUUGACCUGUGGAACAAGAAAUCCUGGAGUUAACGCCUAGAAGUUGAUCUAACAAAGUGAAUCACAACAAAAUUCUUUCACUCGUCAACUGCUGUUGUAUUAUAAGUAUUUAUACGAACAGAGAGAAACCAUUUGGAAAGUCCGGAAGAUGAUGUUUUUUAAUUUUUGAGUGAGAGGCUUGGGCCGAGCGUAGUCCAAUAUACUAAAAUAAAACAGAGUGCAAACGGUGACAUUUCACCACCCCCAGGCACCUUGAUUAAUUCUUACUAAGGCAGAAUUCAUUCAUUAUAUCUUUUAAUGAUUGUCAAAACUCAUAUAUGCAAGUAAUUAAUAUUUUAAUAGAUCCUUAUUGAAUUUGAUUUAACUAUAAAACAGAAUCUCCCAACAUGCUGAAUGGAACCUCGGGGCAUAAUAGCGAUGGGAUUGGGAGGUAAUAAAAAACAAUACAAUUAAAACACAACAGAAUCAACAACUCUCCCACCUCGUGCAAACAUGUUAGGAAAUAAAUAACUAAAGCCAAUCCAUCUAAUAUAUAUAUCAUAGAUAUUCACAAAUACCUAGCUGAUCAAAUUAUCAAAAACAUAAAAGCAACACUAAAUUUUACGUCGAAAAUUAAACCUCCCAAUAUGGAGAGUAAAAACAACGGGACCGUAGUCCACCCAAAAACUUUCACUAUCAACCAAGAAUGGAUAUUACAAUCUAUUCUCUCUAGCUAAAACUAGAGACAUAUAUCACCACAUAAUUUCAAGAACAAUAUUCUUGGCAAACAUCAACAAUAAGAAAGAGAAAAAAUGAGAAGAUCUCACAUGAACAGCAGUCAUGUUUUUGCAGAAUCUUAUUAUGCUGGAAGAUUGAAAAUAGCAAUCACACCGUAUAAAUUGAAGAACCACGUGUUUGAGCCUACUGUCAAAAUUUUAACUCAAUCGGACCUCGGAUUGCCUUCCAAUCGUCGUUUGAUCAAAACUGCACAUAGUGAACUAAUUCUACUCCUCCGCCGCUGCCUUCUUUUUUUUACGAAGACUCCUCACGCUGCCUGGCUUCUCCACAUAAAAACUGUCCUAAUGGGCCCCACAUUUUGGGCCAAAAGUUAUUCCAACUAAUAUGGGCUAAAAAUAAUUAAUUGAGCCCACAUUUGUUGAGCUAAGUCUUCUCCAACAUAAGAGGGACAACCCAACAAAUCUCCCCCUCCCGACUAUGUGGAGGGAUUCACCAUCCCAGCGAUCAAUCGACAUGUCAGUCCUAUGUCUAUUGUUGACUUGAAUUAGCAUACAAUAAACAAUACCUAAGUCCACAAAAAAGAUUAUUUUUUGCUUGUUAUAUAUAAAUUGUUUAAUAUCACAGUUGAUUUUGGAAGCUAACCAUCUUUUCUUGGAAGGUGACUCAGCGACAGUGAUUGGUAGGAUAAAUUGAGAUAGCCGACAUUUGGAUGGAUUAUGCAUCUUCACACAACUUAACGGGCCUACCUGGGACUUCUAACAAAGGACACGGUCAACUUAAGCAAAUGGAAAACGUUCUGGGUUGUUGGAAUCACCAGUCCAAACACGCAAGUAGGGAUGUUGAAACGAAUGAUUUUUUAUUAGCUCAUAACCACUGAUCGAAUCAUGUGCCUUACAUUUGUCCAUCACUUAUUGCCUCAUGAUGAAGAUAUGUACACGUACUGCAAAUGGCUACAGGAGUGUCAGUGCCAGCCGCCUGUGGUUCCCACCUAAAGUCAAGUCCAUCGUAUCUUUUCGUUUUCUCGGUAGACAAUUCCAUCCUAUCUUUGAACAUCGCCAACCACGCUGGCUACGUUGGACAAAGAAAACAAAAAAACAAAACGCUUCCUCCUCAGCCUACCCUCCCCCACCGCCCUAUAAAUACUCUUACUGCCCAUCCCACAACCCCACACAAUCCUCAACCAGAGAGCCAUCUUCCUGGGUAUCAAAAUGGCCUCUUCGACCUCCCUUACUCUCUUCUUCUUCCCUUUCCUCCUCCUCACCCUCUCCCACGCCGCCACCUUCGACGUCGUCAACCAAUGUUCCUACACCGUGUGGGCUGCAUGGGCAGACACCGGCAACAACGGCGGCGGCCAGAAGCUCGGCAAGGGCCAGACCUGGACGGUCACCGUCAAUCCCGGCACCCCCCGUGCCCGCAUCUGGGCCCGUACCGGCUGCUCCUUCGAUGCCAACGGCAACGGGAAGUGCCAGACCGGCGACUGCGGCAAGCUCGCCUGCACCUCCUACGGCUCCCCGCCCAACACCCUCGCGGAAUUCGCCCUCAACCAGAACUCCCCACCUUACUACACCAACCGCGACUUCAACGACAUCUCCCUCGUUCAGGGUUUCAACGUGCCCAUGGACUUCCGCUCCACCUCGUCGAGCUGCAGCAUGGAUAUCCAAUGCACCGCCGACGUCGUUGGGAAGUGCCCCAGCAAGCUCAAAGUAACCGGCGGCUGCGAUGACCCAUGCACCAUCUUCAAGACUGCUCAGUACUGCUGCCCGUCCGGCUCAAGCUGCGAUCCAACUACCUAUUCCAAGUUCUUUAAGAGCCUGUGCCCGAAUGCGUAUAGCUACCCGGAUGAUUAUAACAACACCCAAUUCUCCUGCCCCGGUGGGACCAACUAUAAGGUCACCUUCUGCCCUUGAGGCUUUGAGAGCUUGGUGAUCCAUGCAUGCAUGACGCUGUUUGGAGUAUGUGAUAGCUUUGGAAUAAGGUGGUUGUAACCAGAUUUACAGCCCAUUUCACAGGCCUGUAAUGCAGCAGUAAUAGAGUAAUAAAAACGUUGCAUAAUUGUUUGCUGUUAGUAAAUGCGCUCCUCCAUGUUCGAUAUCGUAUAGAUGACUAAUUACAGAGGACAAAGAAGAGAAUACUGUGGCAAGUUGCACUAUCUAUUUGGCAAUCCAUUUCCUAUCAGAUAUGGCACUAGCUAACUCCAACGAUAACUGACCCCACCAAUCGCACCAUCCCCUUUUGACAUGUUGGAUAAGAAAUACAGGUGCAAAAUGCAUCGAAGCUGAUCUUGCAAAUUGAAUCACUACAAAAUUCUUUCAUUAAUCUAUUAAUUGCUGUUCUAAUAUUAACUAUUUACAUGAACUAAGGGAAACUAUUAAUUGGAAACUCUAGAAGAUACAUCCAUGUAUUAUAUUUUAUUUGUUAUGACUGGAAGACUUGGCUUGAGUCUAAUCCAAUUUUAUUGAAUUAAAAUAUAGUACAAACGGUCAGUCAAGGUUACAUUAACCAAUAGGGCUGAAAUUUAACCACCCACAGGCCCCUUGUUUCUUAGGUAGAAUUCAUUUUAAAUUUUUUAUGAUUGGCUAAACUCAUGUAUGUAAGUGAUUAAUAUUUUAAUAGAUAACUUAAAGAAUUAGAUGGAAUUACCCAUAUAUAUAUAUAUAUAUAAACAUCUUCCGUGUGUUACCUUCUAUCAUAUAUAGUAUGUCGGCGUCCCUGUUGCUUACAAACAGAUGCUAUGGCCCAGCCGAAUAAUAUUGGAUUUAGUAUCUUCGGUACAGGAUCAUGAAGUUCGUCACAAGGAAAAAUUUCAUCGUGCACUAAGAUUUUGGAUAACCUGUGCAACAAAGUCCACUCCAUUUGACGAUUAGAUUGGACUAACUCCCAGAAGCCCAUGGAGGAAGUUUCUCAGAACUUGAAUUCCCUGUAAGUUAAGUUGCAAUAGGUUACGUAACUUUUCCGUAGGUUAUAUAUUCACUUAUGCAGCUUUCUUGAUUGCCUUUACAUCAGGAAAAUUUUAGAUUAAAGUAUGCAAGUGGAAUUGGUGUUAUGUGGGAGGAUGCUGAGAGGCCCCUAUUGGUGUUGUGUUGCAAUAGGUCCAGCUUCACUGGAUCGGGGCCCAAGCCCUAUUCAUUGAGGGAACCACCUUAACGGUUCCUCGAAUAAGAACGGGGCAUAAGAGAAGCCGUAGACUUUCUCUUGUCCCCUCUCACACCUGCCUCUCUCUCUCUCUCNNNNNNNNNNNNNNNNNNNNUCUCUCUCUCUCUCUCUCUCUCUCUCUCUCUCUCUCUCACUCACUCACUCACUGUCACGCGCUCUCUAGAUCGAUCUCUAUCUAAAUCUCACACGCUCUCUCUCUCUCUCUCCGAUGUCUCUCUCUCCUAUGCUCUUUCUCUCUUACUCACUUCUUCUUCUCCUCCUUUUCUUUCUUUUUCUCUCUUUAUAUCUCACAGCUAGCCCCAAAGGUGAUUGAAUCGGCAUCCAAAAUAUUCCCAAAGUACAUAAAACUCUAUUGUCCGUUGGAGUAAAGAAAGACAGCCAUCAUAAGACGUCUAAAUAGGUCUAGGCCGAAAAUAUAUAAUUUAUCAAUCUGAUAAUUACUGCAAAACACUGUGCCAAUGAACGUAUGUACUAGAGAAUAAAUAGCAUCAAAUAUCAAAAUCAUUGGGAGUGGAAGCCAGACACAGUGGCAAUCGUCAAAGUGGACAAUUAUUAUCUAUUAGUAUAAAUAAGUGAAAACUAUACCUUAUAUAGAUCCCUUCGACAAUUCAAAUCAAGAAUUAUAAUUUAUUUUAGUUCUUAAUCUACCAGUAGUUUCUACUCUUGGAGUAGCUGCAGUAACUUAAAAUCUCUACUAGUGCAGUCCAAUGCUACGCCUCUAUUUCUAUUCGGAUAUAUUUCUUUUAAGGAGUGGUAUGACGGUGAUGAAAGUCUUUGAAGGUCCAGGUACCUAGAUCCUUGCUACUCUUUGUCCUCUCUUCAAUCAUUAUCAUGUCAGCUGAUUCGACGUCGUUUGCAUGCCAUGCACCCACCAUAACUUUGCCACCCAACUUGUGUGGACAAGUUCUCUAGCAUGCCCAUUCCUUAGGUGGUGCGAGAGUGACUUCACGAUGACAAAUAGGUGAAACAUCGACAAAUUGUGAUUAUAGCUACCUUAGAGGUUAAGUGUUAAUUUAAAGGCUAAUCAUGUUCUAUAUCAUUCUUGUUACUAAGAAAAGUCAUCAGCCUAAUAUAGGGGUAACGACCUAAUUAAGCAGUAUCAGUGCUUAUCAAGAAGUCAGCAUGUCAGAAAUGGAGAUAGAUAGUUCAAAAACUAAAAUUGACUUUAGCAAACUUCAAGGGAAAGUGAUCAAAAUGGUGUUAAUUAAUCGAAGAUGUCAGGUGUCAGUGUUAGAGAGAGACAAUUGUUUAGAUCCAGAGAAGGGACAUUUUCUCUAUUCAAUGAUCAACAUUUUCAUUUUCAUCCCUUCUGCUAAUUUUGUUAUUUCUUUAUAUCCUCUAGCUUUUAUCCUUUAUCCUCAAUAGCAUAGCGUUGUAGCUAUCGCUUCCAUCUCUAGGAAGGCAGCAUCUAAUAGCGGAAGUCCCCAUAGAUUAAGAUGAGACAGCGGAACGUACCACCAUUUAUUCUUUUCGGUUGGAACAUCCAUGUUACGCCAGCGCAUCCAUCAAAUCCAACUAUUAAUUGCCAACUAGGAUGCAGGUUAAGUUGCUGCACUAUAAAAAGAAAAAAAACAAAACAUUAGUGAUGCUUUUUAUUGCCUAUACCGAAGCUUAUAAGCAUUAUUAGUUUUAUUAGUGAUACCUUAUAAAGCGUCGCAAAAGCGUCGAUUAUAUGAACGUUGAAAAAUGAAAUUGACGACGCUUGGAGAAAGCAUCGCUAACUGCCGACGCUUAUAAGUGUUUGCUAAUAGUAACGCUUAAUUGCAUCGCCAGUUAGCAACGCUACAAAAUAUCACUAAUAUUUUUUUAUAACAACGCUUUAAAACGUCAUUAUAUUUUAUUUUUUUUGAAAAAAAUAUUUAAAUUUUUUUUAAAACUCUGUAUAUAUGUACAUGCUAAAAGCAUCUUUAAAUAUGCUCGUUAUAUCAUUUUCUUAUACAAGAUUUCUUUUCAUGUUACUGGAUCCAAAACUAGAAGUGUGUUAUAAAUAGGAGGGUUGGUUACAUGGAGUCGGCAAUAUGGAUUCUCUAUGAAAUACCCAUUCAGUAUAACCUUUUAGAAAACCAUUGUACACAAAUAUUUUUCAAUAGUUUUUGGAGCGAGAAAAGAACUGUCUACAUAUUUUCGAUAUGGAUAUAAAAUCUUUUCGUUCAUAUUAGAUUUCUUAAAAGCAAAUUUAAUAAAAUUCUGAACUCCAUCCAAAUAUUCGGCACCGGAUUUCGAUUUAUUUAUCCAACUUUUGUCCAUUCGAUUAGAAUAUUGAUUGAACUAUAACUUAUCUAAAAAAGAUAAAUAAAAUUAGGGUAUAAAGAAGGAUGGCAUAAAAUUUAUUCAAUGAAAAGAUCAAAGAAGAGGAUGUUAAUAAACACGUGGCUGGAGAACGAUACAUUGUUCAACCAAACAUAUGGAUUCAAGUGGAUACUGAAAAAUUAUAACCAAACAUAUGGAUUCAAGUGGAUACUGAAAAAUUAUACAAAAGAAGUGUUCUUUAAUGGUAGUCAAAGAUGUUUAGAAUUCGUAAUUAAAUAGGUGCACUUGAGACAACUAGUUGUUGGGGGAUUUAAAAACAUAAGAAAAACUAAUGCCAUUUUUACAGCAUAUAACUGCAUUUAGGAAGAAAAUAAGGAACUCUAAUGGGUUGAUACUUUGACUUAAAAGUCAGACAAGGUUCCAUUAUAAUUUUGGGUUCAGGUUGGGUCUUUGGCAUGAAAGAACAUUUGAUAUUCUUUCGCCUGUGGGACCGUCCGAUGGGGAUGAGCAUGUUGAGAUUGGGGCGGAUGGGGAAACAGAGUCGAAACUGAAGAGAGCCGUUAAGGCCAAUAUGCAUGAUUAAUCAGAGUAGCACAACAAUACAAAAAAAAAAGAAUAAGAUAAGAUAAGAUAAGGAAAAGUGAAUCAUUAAUCAACACAAUGGAACCUCAUUCUCUAAUGGUGUUUGCAUAAGCUAAUCAGAGGCUCGAAUCAAUAAUGGUAUCAAAACUACAAAAUCCACAAGAAAUAAAAAAUGAACUGCAGAUAUUUAAUUCUUUUGGAAAAUAAAAUAUAAGAAAGAAAAGAAGAACAACAGUCAUCUUAGUACUGAAAACAAGAAAGCUCUCUGAUAAAAAAUUGGCAUUGAACAAAUUAUGGAUUCAAGAAACUGAGCAAACUAAAUCUUCGGUUCAUUGAACCAAAUAAACAGAAAGGGACCAAAGGGUACAGCACAAAUCCGAAAAGGAGAGCAAGGAACAUUAAGAAGCAUGAGCUGAACAACUCCCCAAGCUUCUCCGGGACAAAAUCCUCGGUGCUCGGCCCUCGACAUGAGGCCUCCACCAAAAAUAUCACCAGGGAGGUCGGUUGGUCGGUCGGCGCCGGAGAGAAAGGAAGAGGAGAAAGAUACCUGUGACGGAUGGAGACGGAGCUCGAUAGGAGGAUUGGGAUUGGUCGGUCGGCGCCGGAGAGAAGAAAAAGAAAGUUAGGAUUGGUGGAAAAUGAGGGCUAGUGGGUCGCGUAUUAGGGUUUUUUAGUGGGGUGUUAGCCUCCAACGAUGCUCAUAAGCAUCGUCUUAGGUCCUUGCCCUCUGACGAUACUUAGAAAUAUCGUCUUAGGUCCUAGGCUUCCGACGACGCUUAUAAAUGUUUUCUUAGAUUAGUGUUUAGGCGGAGUUCAGUGGAAGUUAGUGUUAAGAAAGUGUCUAGUGUGUAGAAUUCUAACGACGCUUUUAAGCGUCGUUUGCUCCUUUUCCUCAUUCUAUUUUUUUGGCCUCCAACGAUACUUAUAAAUGUCGUCUUACAAUUUAAUUUCAACGAUGCUAAUUAGUGAUGUCAUAGUUUCAUCCCUGCAGACACUACUUAAAAGUGUCGACAAAUUUUGACACCGAAGACAAAAUUACUGACGCUUCUACCUAACAUGAACAUGUAUAUGUCAGCAUUUUUCCCUUUUUCUGGAGUGCUGCAUCUCAACCUAAUGCUGCAACUUGAGUCAUUGUAGCCCGACAUUUUGUAGCACUCCAAAAUCUUCGAGUGGCCUAGUGGCGGAAAACUAUGAGCCCCCCCAAAAAAAAUAGUUAUACUGUAAAAAUAUUCACACAUAUGUUGAACUAUUUGAUUACAAAGAACAUGUAUUAUAAUCUCUAAGAUAUUUUUUAUUGGAAAAAGGUUCUAUAUAUUCGUGCUUAUACAAAAUAAUAAAUCUCCUGCUACACUUUGGGAAUUCACAUGCAUUUGCCAUUAGUCCAAUGAUCUCCCAUGAUGGCAACACGAGAAAAUAUAUAGUUUUAAUACUUUAAAGGGUUCAACAAAAUUACAAAAUUAUCCAACCAUUAUUAUUAGGGAACUUUUUUCUUAAAACAAGUUUAAAUUUAUUAGAUCACCAAAAAUAAUCAUUAAUAAAAAUUAAACUUUAAUGAGCUUUUUGUACGCGUUACACGUGUUGAAAAUGCCAAUCUUUGAGACGCCGAUGUACCGCGAGAACAUUGCCCUUCAUUUUUCCACUCCUCCCGUCACAGCCGCCUGUGGUCCCCACAUAAAGUCCAGUCCAUCCCAUCUUUGACUAUUAUAAACUGCACAGGCUGCGCUGGUUAUAAUAAUAAUAUAAAAAAAAUGCCUACCUUAAAGAGUGACUCGGCCACAGUUGGAUCCAAAAAAUUUCAGGGGUAACAGAUGCGAUCAUCCUUUACUCCGAGAUAUCUGCGUAAUAUUGAGGAAUGGUGGAGCCUUCCAGAUCUAGUAUAUUUUUCGAAAAGUCAAUAGAGCUGCGGAUUGAAUAGUUGCUUAUAUGGCCAGUCACUCCGGCAGUACCAUAUAAACUGGAGAUGGAGAGUUAUUUUAGGCACUUCAAAGCAUUUUGUUUUCUGACUUUAUUGGGUGUAUGGUAUAAGAACACGUGCCGCGCGUCCCAACACCCCACACAAUCCUCAACUAGAAAGCCAUCUUCCUGGAUAUCAAAAUGGGCUCCUCGACCUCCCUCACUCUCCUCUUCUUCCCCUUCCUCCUCCUCACCCUCUCCCACGCCGCCACCUUCGACGUCGUCAAUCAAUGUUCCUACACCGUGUGGGCUGCAUGGGCAGACACCAGUAACCUCGGCGGCGGCCAGCAGCUCAGCAAGGGCCAGACCUGGACGGUCACCGUCAAUCCCGGCACCCCCCGUGCCCGCAUAUGGGCCCGUACUGGCUGCUCCUUCGAUGCC